AUUCUCAAAGCUUUCAUUUAAAACUAGCAUGUGCUGUGCGGUAUUCAGCAGUGCAGUAUUGUAAGUCUAAGGUGUAAAUCGUAAUAAAAUCAUGUAGUCUGAUCCGGGCAUUAAGGGUGCAACAGCAGUUACUGAGGCUGUGCAUGAUUUAAUGAACAAACAAAAUCAAACAAGAAGCUAACAUAUAAUUGAGGAAUUAAGGUGUGGACCGUAAUAAAUAAUUGUUGAUGUUGCUGAACUUUACUGCUCCUUCGCAUCACAACAGACUGGCAGGGUCACCUACAGGCUUGUAUAUUCCUUGGGAGUUCUUUUGGCCACACCACGCCUCUUUACGUAAUUACGUUACACGUACAGACUCUAAAAGAGGAUCCGGCUCAGUUUUACUGAACACGAGCAGCUGGUGGAGCAAUGGAGACUUCAGAAGAGGAAACUCAGGGCUCAUUCACUCAUAGUAAUAACAAAGAAACGAAGAAGUGAAGUUUCUCUCUCUCUCUCUCUCUCAUAUUAAUCCGCUCUGAAAGGAGACCGCAUCACACCCGCCUGGUUUAAAAUGCUUCUUUCGCUAUUACUCAUUCUCACCAGAGAGGGCCCUCA